AACAAUAAUAAUAUAUUCUAUGUAAUUUUAUAAGUAAUUGCUAAAAACAUAGGAUUUACACAAAACUUAUUCUUAUUAAAUAAAUAUUAAAAAUUUAUUUUCGAUAGAUCGUUAAUUUUCGUUGCUUAUAAAAGGUUUCUCAUAGUUGACAGUAGUGCAGAACACAAGGUAGCUGUAAAGGUUUGACACCAAAUUAAGAAAUUAUGGAGGAAGGCAACAGCUCAUUCAAAUAUUCAGAUAAGAAAAAGAAGUCAGAUCUUGCAAAACUUCAAAAGGAACAUGAUGAGAAAAUGGCAGCAAUAAAAGAGCUCAAGAAAAAGAGAGAAGAAAUGAAGCUUCAAUUGUCAAAGAAUAACAUUUCUGAGGAAAAGAAAGAGACUUUCAGAAAAUUGACUGAAAAAUAUCAAAAAAUGAAUGAUGAAUAUAAUUCCCUUUUAGGUUAGAUAUUAAAGGGAAAAGAGUAGUAUCUUACUAAUAAAAAUUAUUUUCUAUCGUUCCAUAAUGUAUCGUUUUAUAUUAUACUAGUUAUUAUGUUAUAUACUGUAUCAUGCAUGUUCAUGAAUCAACAACAAUAUACCUUGUGGUGUUGUAAGAAUAACAAUAAUAUAUCAAUGAAAUUCUACCGUUAGGAUUUGAAGA